rnacentral:rRNA from 1 species
CAGCAGCCGCGGGAAUACGUAGGUGGCAAGCGUUGUCCGGAAUUAUUGGGCGUAAAGGGCUCGCAGGCGGUUUCUUAAGUCCGAUGUGAAAGCCCCCGGCUCAACCGGGGAGGGUUAUUGGAAACUGGGAAACUUGAGUGCAGAAGAGGAGAGUGGAAUUCCACGUGUAGCGGUGAAAUGCGUAGAGAUGUGGAGGAACACCAGUGGCGAAGGCGACUCUCUGGUCUGUAACUGACGCUGAGGAGCGAAAGCGUGGGGAGCGAACAGGAUUAGAUACCCCCGUAGUCCCUGUCUCUUAUAC